CGAGCAAAUCGGGCGGCAGCGCGCCCCUUGGGCGUGAGGAAAGUCCGAGCUCCGCAGGGCGGGAUAACUGCUAACGGCAGCCGGGGGCGACCCCAGGGAUAGUGCAACAGAGAUAUACCGCCCGCCUUUGGCGGGUAAGGGUGGAAAGGCGAGGUAAGAGCUCACCGGCGCGCAGGCGACUGCGCGGCCCUGUAAACCCUAUCCGGAGCAACACCGAUUCGGGACGUUUGAGCUUGCCCGGCGAGUCCCGAGGCGUGGCAUGAGCCGCGCGGCGACGCGCGGCCAAGAUAGAUUGUCGCUCAAGACAGAACUCGGCUUACAGAUUUGCUCGCAGC
rnacentral:RNase_P_RNA from 1 species